rnacentral:lncRNA from 1 species
AGGAGUGGUGGACCCCCUAGGGCAUCUCAGAGGGCUUCCCAGAGGAGAUGACUCUCAGACAGGGUUUUGAAGGAUGGAUAGGAGUUGGCCAGACUAAACAGGCACAUGAAAGAGACCCCUAGAAGAGGGAACAAUACUGUCAAACACAUUCACCAGGGGUUCCCCUCUAGGGAGGCUCAGAGCAUCUUGCUGAGGUGGGCCGAUGGGAUGCCAGGAUCCAGAGAAGAGGCUGUUUCCCAAGGUCACCUUGGAUCCCAGGGGUUCAGCCCUCCCAGUUCCAGCUCCUCACCCAGUGCCAGCGCUGCCUCUGAAAGGAAGUUCCCCCUAUGCAGUCCCACCAGGAGUGGAAUCGGGGUCUCCCAGGGCCUCAGGCUCCAGCCAGCAGUUGGAGGUGCUGAUGGGGGGGGUGAGGUGAUGAUCAUGAAGUUGGUGAUUUUUGAGGCACCGACGGCACAUUAUUGUUCCCUCAUUCACACACUUCCCUGGGCUCCUCUGGGGACACAGUGGACAACGGCCAAGCAAGUCACACUCCCGCCCCUUCCCCUCCCACCCACCACAUCCCCGGAGGCUUGAGUCACCCUGGCAGGGCAGGUGGGUGCCUAUGGGGAGCCCAGGGCCCCUGCUUGGGUGUGGACCAAGGCUCUGUUCUCGGAGGACCCUGACAGACCCUGGGUGUGGCAUGGCGGUGUUGGAUGAGGUAGAGGGCUCGGUUGUGGGUGUCUAGGUCAUCGGCCCAGGGCCAGGAUGCGGAGCCCGCAGAACUAGGACCCACAUGCAGUGGGAGCCCAAGCCCUCACGGCUCACACUGCUCCCUGUCAUCCCCAGCAGAUGGAGAGGCGGUAGCAGGCUCCUAAGGCUGCCGCCCUACACAGCCUUGGGUCCGGCUCAGAUGGGGCUCAGCUCCCCUCCCAAAGGGACAGGAGGCCGGGUGCCCUCCCUUGUCAGAUGAAACCCCGGCCCAGGGCUCCUUCAGCCUGAUGAAAGGGUCAUUGUGUGGUGCGGGCCGCCCGCUGGCCAAGGACAAAACCACCGUUUGUCCUCCGUCCCUGGCGCGGGGCUGGGGGCCUCACCUCAGGCUGGCCAGCAGGGUGGGGGUGGGUACAGGUGCGCUCUCUCCCCCCUUCAUUGUCUUCCCACUCAGCCUGCCUGGGGCCCCUCCUCCAUCCCUGCCUCUCACCCAGGGUGUUCUCGUCCUCUGAGCGUGGGUCCUGAGGCUUGGGUCAGCUCCACUGUUGGCAGAGAGGCAGUGAGUUCUCCAGCCCUGGAGGCAUACAAGCAGAUGCAGGAGUGAGGGCCGGGGAUGCUGGGGAGGGUCCUUGCCUGGGCAGAGAAGCAGCGCUUACAGGUUCUCUGUGCAAGCAGCCAGUGGAGUGGUUGGCCUUUCCAGAGGCCAUCCCACAGUCUCAGUAGUAGAGUGGCAGGUGAGGCUUGGCACAGGGCCAUCGACACUUCCUCCAUCCCCAGGCUGGAGCAGGUGGCGGCUGAGGUGCUGGGGCUGCCACGAGGCUGGGUCUGAGGCUGUGUGCAGAAGACACUAACGUCCUGCUCCCCCAAGCAGCCUUUGCAGCUUUAGAGUGUGAAGCCUGCAGGUGCCUGGAGCUGGGCCUGGGAGGAAGCCACCCCACCCGACGAGCAGCUUGCCGGGUGUCAGCAGCAACGGAGAAGAGCCCGAGUGAGCAUCCCCUGGAGUCCCAUCCCAUGACCCCUGCAGGCCUCUAUCGCUUUCUGGAGCCCUCCCGCACUGUGAUCCCUGCUCCAACCCUUCCGUGCCCUGUUGGAGCUCUGAAUGGGCCAGGCCGGAGGGAGCCCGGGCACAAGGACUGGUGGUGUCUCAGCUGGCCUCCGCGCAGUGGGUAUUGGUGUGGCCAGGGUGAGGAGGCAUCCAGAGCUGAGACUUAGGCCCGCGCAGUCCCAAGUGGCGAGACAGAUGGCAAAGCCCCUUCCAAUGGGAAGUCCUCCAGAAUGCACUGCCUGCCCUGCAGACCCCUGCCUGGGGGACACAGGAUGAGGCAUUCCCACUUCUGGAGGACUCAAGUUUCCCCCAGAAGGCCCUCCCUAGUGGGACUGACGUGUGCACAGUGCCCAGGGUCUGCUUGGGAAUCUGUGUCCCCCUCGGGCUGCCAGAGGACUUCACCGCUGACGGGGAAGUGUUGGGAAUUUCCAGGUGCGGCUGACACCCCCACUAGGAAGGCAGAUUCAUCACUCUACCAUCUCCAUUUCCUGGGGCUCCUCCUGUGUGCCCCAUGGCUCCCCUCAGCCUGGGGAGGGCUGGCCUGCAGGGGCCACACUCCUGUGGGCUGAAGCGCUUGCUCGGCCCCAUCACUGCUCCAGCAAGGUUGUCACCCGCCUUGGUAGCACUGCCCUGCGGAUGGAGUCGCAUGUUGGGCACACCUUUCUGAGCCUCAGGGUGUUCAGGAGUGUUCCUGGGGGUGACAGGCCCAGGAUCCCUGGAUGCCAGGCAGGCUGGUGUUGUGGAGAGAGCACUGGAUAGGGAGUCAGUGGCUCCGGGCUGCAGUCACUCCAUGUCUGCAGUAGUUCAGAGUACACAGGGACACAGGGCCUGGGGACCUGCGGGACACAGUCCCCGAAGUGGCCAGGCUGGGCUGCUGUGGACCUGCAUCUGGGGAGGGGCACUGGGCUGAGGGCUGCAGACUGCACAUGGGCCGCACCUGCUCUCUCUCAGAACCUGCCUCCCCAGCGUGUGGCCUGGGGGCUCCCCUCCAGGCUGCAGCUCCUGGAGGUGCGGGGGGGUCACCUGGCGCCCCAUUGUGCUCUUGUAUUUCCUUCUGGCAUCUUUAGGAGCCAGGCAGGGUGUGCGGUGUGAUGCCUCCCUCUGUUGCGGGAGUCCCCUGCUUU